rnacentral:lncRNA from 1 species
CGUUUUUCGGCUAUUAUCUUAAAUAUAAUUAUAGAUAGAGAUAAACUGCAAACAGCAAUAAUGUUCAGCAAAGUAAGAUCUACAAAUAAGUUCAUACGACUAAAAUUGUCAGUUGAUCCCUUAAGGAGUUAUUGCACUUUAUAGUAAUUUUUUACCAAUUUUUCCUAUUUUUUUCUAAUCUUUUACAAAAAUCUUCUCCUCUAAAACUACUGGUCCAAAUUUACCCAUACUUGUCCAUAAUCAUCAUUGAGGUAUCUAGUUUUCAAAAAUGUGUGCGGUGACCCUGCCAACCAACCAAGAUGGCCGCCAUGGCUAAAAAUAGAACAUAGGGGUAAAUGUAGAUUUCGGCUUAUAAAUCUGAAACCAAAGCAUUAAGAGCAAUUCAGACAUGGGGGUUAAAUUGUUUUGCAAGUCAAGAUCUAUCUGCCCUGAAAUUUUCAGAUGAAUCCGACAACUGGUUGUUGGGUUGCUGCCCCUGAAUUUGAA